rnacentral:lncRNA from 1 species
AAUAAAACAUGCACUCCGUCUGCCACACAAUUCAUCAAGGCAUAUGGAGUUCAGGCUGGAUAACCGAUGGGGUCCAAGUUCGAUCACAACACAGCACUACAAACUGAGCACAUCAUGGUCAUGGUAUACAUUACAUAUGACUCCCUGGACCUUCAGUGUGGUUUAAUCUGAGUUCUAGGCCCACCGGGCUCCAGUCCAGCAGGGGCCAGUGGUUCUCAUGUCACCAGUGUAUAUGACAAUACAAACAUGAUGAGAUCCCACCUCAAGUGCUGCUUCACUGCUGUGGAGUCCUGGGUUCGAUUCCAGACCGGGGCACCCUCUGUGUGGAGUUUGCAUGUUCUCCACAGUUGCCUUUUCCCUGAGCGCUCGGAUUUUCCUGACACCUUCCACGGGCAGGCUGGCUCAGUUAUUCGGAGUCUCUUGGUUGUCCGGGUUUGCUGUCCGAUCCAGGGGUUAGUGCUGCCUUGUGCCCUGUGCCUCCGGGAUGGGCUCUGGGAACGAGCCGGAGUCUGGUCAUGGCUGGGGAGGUGCAGUACGGUCCUGUUUCCAGGCAGGAAGGAGCUGGUGGACCUUAUUGUCCAUAUUUCUGAACAGAAGCCCUCAGGCCUGAGCAGGUGGGUCUGGGAGGUCGCUGGACCAAUCAGAAGCCGGCAGUGUCCGCAUUCCCAUGCCACGCAGGGAGUCGAACACUCCAUCAGCCAAUCAGCUUUCAGCGUCGGGCAGACGCAGCUGUCUUAUUCGAGGGAGGGUACUGUGUCCCCC